rnacentral:rRNA from 1 species
UUAACUGAAGAGUUUGAUCAUGGCUCAGAUUGAACGCUGGCGGCAAGCCUAACACAUGCAAGUCGUGCGGCAACGAGAUGAAAAUUAUGUAAAUUUUUUUUAUUGUCGGCGAGCGGCGAACGGGUGAGUAAUAUCUGGGGAUCUGCCUUAUAGAUUGGGAUAACUAUUGGAAACGAUGGCUAAUACCGAAUAAUAUCGCAAGAUUAAAGGUGGGGGAUCUUUUAAGACCUCAUGCUAUAAGAGGAACCCAGACGGGAUUAGCUUGUAGGUAAGGUAAUGGCUUACCUAGGCAACAAUCUCUAGCUGGUCUGAGAGGAUGAUCAGCCACACUGGAACUGAGACACGGUCCAGACUCCUACGGGAGGCAGCAGUGGGGAAUCUUGCACAAUGGGCGAAAGCCUGAUGCAGCUAUGCCGCGUGUAUGAAGAAGGCCUUAGGGUUGUAAAGUACUUUCAAUAAGGAAGAAGCAAUAAAAUCUAAUAUAUUUUAUUGUUGACGUUACUUAUAAAAGAAGCACCGGCUAACUCCGUGCCAGCAGCCGCGGUAAUACGGAGGGUGCUAGCGUUAAUCGGAAUUACUGGGCGUAAAGAGCACGUAGGCGGUUUAUUAAGUCAGAUGUGAAAUCCCUAAGCUUAACUUAGGAACUGCAUUUGAAACUAAUUUACUUGAGUAUCAUAGAGGGGAGUAGAAUUCCAGGUGUAGCGGUGAAAUGCGUAGAUAUCUGGAGGAAUACCAGUGGCGAAGGCGACUCCCUGGAUGAAUACUGACGCUCAGGUGCGAAAGCAUGGGGAGCAAACAGGAUUAGAUACCCUGGUAGUCCAUUGCUGUAAACGAUGUCGACUUGGAGGUUGUGAGCUUGUCUUGUAGCUUCCGUAGCUAACGCGUUAAGUCGACCGCCUGGGGAGUACGACCGCAAGGUUAAAACUCAAAUGAAUUGACGGGGGCCCGCACAAGCGGUGGAGCAUGUGGUUUAAUUCGAUGCAACGCGAAGAACCUUACCUGGUCUUGACAUCCAUGGAAUUUAAUAGAGAUAUUUUAGUGCCUUCGGGAACCAUGAGACAGGUGCUGCAUGGCUGUCGUCAGCUCGUGUUGUGAAAUGUUGGGUUAAGUCCCGCAACGAGCGCAACCCUUGUCCUUUGUUGCCAACGGUUUGGCCGGGAACUCAAAGGAGACUGCUGGUGAUAAGCCGGAGGAAGGUGGGGAUGACGUCAAGUCAUCAUGGCCCUUACGACCAGGGCUACACACGUGCUACAAUGGUAUAUACAAAGGGCAGCAUCCUCGCAAGAGUAAGCGAAUCUCAUAAAAUAUAUCUUAGUUCGGAUUGGAGUCUGCAACUCGACUCUAUGAAGUCGGAAUCGCUAGUAAUCGUAGAUCAGAAUGCUACGGUGAAUACGUUCCCGGGCCUUGUACACACCGCCCGUCACACCAUGGAAGUGAGUUGUAAAAGAAGUAAGUUGUUUAACCAUAAAAGGAGAACGCUUACCACUUUGUGAUUCAUGACUGGGGUGAAGUCGUAACAAGGUAACCGUAGGGGAACCUGUGGUUGGAUCACCUCCUUU